UCCGUAGGUGGAUAAUUAAGUCAGAGGUGAAAUCCUGCAGCUACUGUAGAAUUGCCUUUGAUACUGGUUAUCUUGAGUCAUUAUGAAGUGGUUAGAAUGUGUAGUGUAGCGGUGAAAUGCAUAGAUAUUACACAGAAUACCGAUUGCGAAGGCAGAUUACUAAUAAUGUACUGACACUGAGGGACGAAAGCGUGGGGAGCGAACAGGAUUAGAUACCCUGGUAGUCC
rnacentral:rRNA from 1 species